GGAUUUAUUGGGCGUAAAGCGAGCGCAGGCGGUUUUCUAAGUCUGAUGUGAAAGCUUCGGCUUAACCGAAGAAGUGCAUCGGAAACUGGAUGACUUGAGUGCAGAAGAGGGCAGUGGAACUCCAUGUGUAGCGGUGGAAUGCGUAGAUAUAUGGAAGAACACCAGUGGCGAAGGCGGCUGCCUGGUCUGUAACUGACGCUGAGGCUCGAAAGCAUGGGUAGCGAACAGGAUUAGAUACCCUGGUAGUCCAUGCCGUAAACGAUGAGUGCUAGGUGUUGGAGGGUUUCCGCCCUUCAGUGCCGGAGCUAACGCAUUAAGCACUCCGCCUGGGGAGUACGACCGCAAGGUUGAAACUCAAAGGAAUUGACGGGGGCCCGCACAAGCGGUGGAGCAUGUGGUUUAAUUCGAAGCUACGCGAAGAACCUUACCAGGUCUUGACAUCUUGCGCCAACCCUAGAGAUAGGGCGUUCCCUUCGGGGACGCAAUGACAGGUGGUGCAUGGUCGUCGUCAGCUCGUGUCGUGAGAUGUUGGGUUAAGUCCCGCAACGAGCGCAACCCUUGUUACUAGUUGCCAGCAUUCAGUUGGGCACUCUAGUGAGACUGCCGGUGACAAACCGGAGGAAGGUGGGGACGACGUCAGAUCAUCAUGCCCCUUAUGACCUGGGCUACACACGUGCUACAAUGGACGGUACAACGAGUCGCGAACUCGCGAGGGCAAGCUAAUCUCUUAAAACCGUUCUCAGUUCGGACUGCAGUCUGCAACUCGACUGCACGAAGUCGGAAUCGCUAGUAAUCGCGGAUCAGCAUGCCGCGGUGAAUACGUUCCCGGGCCUUGUACACACCGCCCGUCACACCAUGGGAGUUUGCAAUGCCCAAAGUCGGUGGGGUAACCUUUGGAGCCAGCCG
rnacentral:rRNA from 2 species